CUUAAGCAAGCCGUACAUACCUGCAGAAAUAGGCCACAGUGCUGUUUGAGUUAGAAGUCUGUCGAGAAAAAGCUGGAUUGGGGUUACUGAUGCCUUUUGCUCCACAUGGGGACCAACGCCUGUUGAGAGUAAAUUUGGUAAUCAGAGGAUCCCUCUCAUUUCCUGCAAACAAAAACUGGAAAGAAGAGACAAAAAUAUCUUAUGAGUAGAGACUCUUAUAAUUUCAUUUGUCCUUAACUCUCAGUCCAGUUCAUUUUUCUUUUUUACUUUUUUAUUUUCUUUACAGACAGGGUCUCGCUCUGUCACCCAGGCUGGAAUGAAGUGGCACCGUCAUAACUCACUGCAAACUGCAUUUUCCAGGCUUAAGAGAUCCUGCCUCUCCUGCCUCAACCUCCUGAGUAGCUGGGAAUACAACCAUGUUGCUAUGUUGCUCAAACUCCUGGCCUCAAGUGAUCCUCCUACCUCAGCCUCCUGCCUCAGCCUCCCAAACUGCUGGAUUACAGGCUUGAGCCACAACACUUGGCCAGUUCAUUUUUUUAAUCCAUCAACUUCUCAGGCCUUUCUCUGGUUUGUUGUAUUCUGUGGUUUUGAAGGUGGCACAAUUACUUGAAUAUGAACAGGAAGCACUCUUCAUCUGGUACCUACCAUGGUCUGCGUACUAAACGGGGACCUUGUAUUUAUCAUUUCUAAUCUUUACACCAGCUCAGCAAGUUUGGUGUUAUCAUAAUUUUACAGAUGAGGAAACCAAAACUCAGAAUGGUUACUAGAUUUGCUUAAGAUCAUAAAGCUAGUAGGUCAUAAAAUAGGGAUUCAAACUGAGACUCAUCAGGGUCCAAAGUCAGGACCAUCUCCUCAACUCUAUACUGACAUUCAUUCCUCUUGUCCUUAUCCAUGCGGAUUAUGUGAGACUAUCAGUUCUGGAAAGUAAUUAAGUACACGUUCAGAGAGGCGAGUUUGUUUAAAAAUUAUAGGGGAAGCUACAUCAUUAUACGCUUACCUUAAUCCUCCUGUCUCCCUCCAUCUCUGUCAAGCUCCGAGGCUCAGAAAUAUGGAGGCAAAGAGUGGAGGGGAAAGGAUGUGUGUGGAGUGAGACAAGUGACAAGGCUAGGGCUGUUUUUCUAUUUUUAUAUACAUUGAUUUUUUAUGUGUAUAUUUUUUCUUGUUUCUAUCUUACAUACAAGCUAGAAUUAACAUAAAUUUCCCCUUCUGCUAUGCUACCCCAACUCCAUUUAAAUUUCCAACUUGAUUAUGUAAAUUAAAUUGCAUGUUAUUUAUGUUGCAAUAGAAGAGUCAGAGAGAAUUCUGACUAACUGGAUUUGUUUCCGUGAUUUUCUUUUUCCUUAUUCCAGAAAGCUAAGUUUUUGGCAGUUGGUAGUUUGCAGGACUGAAAGCAGAAGCUGCUUCCAGAAGACCCCCCCACCCAACCGCCCUCUUAAUUUUGUGAGAAUCCAAGCCCACUGGAGAAAUUAUGCCAGGAAAUUCAGAGUGGAAGGGGAAAAGAGUUAGUGUCUGAAGGAAGAUAUGCGAAAGCAGAAUUCAGGUUAAGAAGAGUCUCAAGCCUGGGGAAAAAACAGUAAGCUCCUCUGUGUAACUGGGACUGUGGCUGUUCCCUCUGGUGCUGCCUGGAAGGACUUUGAAAUGUGGAGGAUAUCUUCAUAGUAGGCACAUUUGAGUAGCACCCUGUUCCUCAAGGCUCUCAAUUCUAGCAAAGAUUCCCAUGAACACUGUGGUGCAGAGCCACAGAACCACUGGACUUGGGCAUUCCUGCAAGCUGGACAGCGUUCAUCUCAGCAGUAAGUGGUCAGAAUCUAGAUUAAAGACUAAACAGCAUGCUCUAUUGAAGAUGGGAUGGACGUGACGAGGAGGGGAUGGAUUUGGGAU
rnacentral:lncRNA from 1 species